rnacentral:rRNA from 1 species
ACUCCUACGGGAGGCAGCAGUUUCGAAUCAUUCACAAUGGGCGAAAGCCUGAUGGUGCAACGCCGCGUGGGGGAUGAAGGUCUUCGGAUCGUAAACCCCUGUCACCAGGGACAAACCGUCGAAGGUUAAUAGCCUUUGGCCUGAUUUAACCUGGAGAGGAAGCAGUGGCUAACUCUGUGCCAGCAGCCGCGGUAAUACAGAGACUGCAAGCGUUAUUCGGAUUCACUGGGCGUAAAGGGUGCGCAGGCGGCCAAGUGUGUCAGGUGUGAAAGCUCCGGGCUUAACCCGGAAAUUGCGCCUGAAACUACUUGGCUAGAGUAUCGGAGAGGGAAGCGGAAUUCUUGGUGUAGCGGUGAAAUGCGUAGAUAUCAAGAGGAACACCAAAGGCGAAGGCAGCUUCCUGGACGAUUACUGACGCUCAGGCACGAAAGCGUGGGUAGCGAAAGGGAUUAGAAACCCCUGUAGUCC